AGCAAUCUCUCCAGGACAGCAGCGACUGCCACACUCAGGGAACAGCCACAUUGUCCAUGUUGUGCUGCACAUCUGCCCCAUGCCACCGAGCUGGUUCUGUAAGGGAACAUUUCACAGCAGCCCAACAGUGAAAAGGGGAUCCCACACUGACUGUCAAUGCAGUUUGGGCAGUGAAGAAAUGUGUCUACAUGCCUCUCUGUGUUUCCACAGUGGUAAGAAGUCAAGAGAGAGAGAUCUCAAGCCCUAAUUUUAUUUUUUCAGCAAUUCAUGACUGUAGUACACACAAAUGCACUUGGAAUUUUUCAUUAAACCAGCUAAUCUUGAUGGAUAUUUCAAGGUAUGGACAUUUCUUUCUUGAAACUUUGUUUGUAUGGGAAUAAUCAUUGGCCAACAGUACAUCUGGACCUGUUAAUUUUGAGCGCCUGUCUUGCCUGUGGGAGAAGCCUGAGUCCCACUGAAAAGAGGAGUGGUGCUCUUGAAAGGUUCUUAACUUGAAAACUGCUUUUUCUCUCUGUAUUUUCUCCUUUUUCAUCCUCAUUAUUUCCUUGAUCAACUUUGUCUUAUUCUAAAGGCUUGGAAUCAAGAGAAAAUAACCUGUGAUGACAGGCCAUGACAUAAAGGGAAUUAACUUGGUAUAAUGGAGGAAUGAUUGACUACCAUGGUGUGAACAGCUGAAGGACAGAUAAGGAAAUAAAUGAAAAUAUAAAAUUUGGAUUUUGGAGAUGAGAUCUUCGUUAUUCAUCUGCUUGAUUUAAUUUUUAUUUGAUCCUUUUAAGACUUUCAGUAGGACUACUGACUAUUUUUCAAGUCACCUGAAAAAUCACUAUCUGUAACAAGAUACUGCCAGAGCUCAGAAGUUUCCACAUUAGGACAAGAGAGAAGGAAAAGAAGCUGGAGCUCUGGACAUCGCUGACAGGAGGUGAAGGAAAGCAGCGGCAUGAGCAGAGGUGAGGGUGCUUGGGACAGCGGGGAGACGCUGAAAGCCUGGCUGAGGCCUCAGACUGUGAUCUCUCAGCAGAACAAAAGAACAAGAGCAACACUUAGUGACAGCACAGGGAAGGACACUUACGGGGAAGGCCUGGAACAAAAACAAGUCGCGAUGCCACUUUGAAGAAAAAUAAGUAGAGGAUUCAGAGUGAAAGCUGUGGUCUCUGUAAGCUUUUGUGCUUGUUAUGUUGGAGACAGCAGUCGUACAUUUCACGUGACAUGGAGUUUGUAAGUUUCUCGGGAGAUGAAUGGAAUGAGAAACUGACGGCUGGAUAAAAUAAUAUAGCUUUUAACAAUUUUUUUCCUUCAGAAGGAACAAGGGUGUGGAGUUAGAACAGUACUGCAGCCCCAGCAGCACACAAUCCAAACCCGAGCGGUUUGCGGCUGUGCUGAAGAGUGUGGGCUGCGGUGCAAUAAAGGCAGGUCUGGACGCGCCUCUGUCAGCAUCACGGCUAGCGGUACAUUUGAUUAUGUUUGCCCUGUAAGGACAGAGCUGUGCUCCCGAGUGUUGGUUGUUUUACCGCGGGCGAUGGA